rnacentral:rRNA from 1 species
GUGGCUUAGAUACCCUAGUAGUCCACGCCGUAAACGAUGAGCACUAGGUGUCGGGGUCGCAAGACUUCGGUGCCGCAGUUAACGCAUUAAGUGCUCCGCCUGGGGAGUACGCACGCAAGUGUGAAACUCAAAGGAAUUGACGGGGACCCGCACAAGCAGCGGAGCAUGUGGUUUAAUUCGAAGCAACGCGAAGAACCUUACCAGGACUUGACAUCCCUCUGACAGGACUUUAACAGGUCCCUCCUUCGGGCAGAGGUGACAGGUGGUGCAUGGCCGUCCUCAACU